GUUUUAAUUUCACAUUAAUUUCCAUAUUGUAUAAACAACUGGAAAAAAACUUGAGCCCCUGCCCCUGUAUAAUCAUGUGCAUGUCUCUGUUCUAGCUCCAAGGUGAAUCUUCACUGCUCAUGUUCUCCUCAGAAGCACUCACCUCACUCCCCUCAGGUUACUGUACACAUGCACCAACUGCCUGCUUCAGGUUUGGAUGGAGCUUCAUGGUUGUCUUUUGGAGAAAUGACCAGUCAAGUUGUGUUUGAAAUUUGAUUUUUUUUUCAGGGGCAAAAGGAGCCUCUGCAUUCUUGUCAAAUAUGUAAAUAGCAUGUUUUUGCAGGUGCUAAAAACCAGACUCUGAGUGUGUGUGUGUGUGUGUGUGUGUGUGUGUGUGUGCGUGUGUGUGUGUCUGUGUGUGUGUGCGUGUGUGUGUGUCUGUGUGUGCGUUCAAGUCACAUGACAUAUUUAACCGGAUGUAGCUGCAAGACGGAGCCUCAUUGACUCUCCGUUUCAACUUAUCUCAAAAGUGAGGACCUCAACCUAUAUACCAGUUUUUAAAUUGUGUUGAUAGGCCAAAUAAAACCAGAGUUAUGAUAAAUUAUGUCCGCGAUACUUUUUUUCUGCUUAUUUUGAUCACGUUCAGCGCUCGAUCGCGCUGUAUGAGACAGGAAAACAUAGCAUGCAGACAUUAGCGACUGUUCUUACAGGCGUAAAAGGCUUGCCAAAAAAAAAAAAAAAAAACACACCACAACAUCCCUCCUAUUGGUGGAAAACUUCACCACAACAACCAAUCCAAAAUUAUAUGGUGACUGAUUGACAAGGGGAGGGCGCUUACGUUCUUCCUGCAACAUGAGAAGGGAGGGAGGGACUCUCAGCAGGGAUGCAGUCUGGGACACGUAGUUGCAAACCUAGCGACUUUGUUGUUAGAUUCAAUGACUUUUCAGACCCCCUAACGACUUUUUUUUAGAAAGAAAGGGACUUUUAUCGACUUCUUCUGGAGUUUAGAGACUCUGACAUGAAGCAGGCUUUCCUUACUGAGGAGUUAGCAACGCUGCUAAGGGUGCAGAGCCACACAUGCACUCAGAGCUCUGCAUGGGAGACUGAAGCUGACAGAGCUGCAGCAGUUAGCAGGUUUCACCCUCAGAGACCACCAGGGGUUCAUGUUGAGGCAUUUUAAUUUUUUUUUUUUUUGUGCCAUAGACACUGUCAGCACAAUCUGCAGUUACACUAACAAAAAUGCUGCAAAAAACAAAGAAUUAUGGAAAAAUUACACAUGGACUGACAUAGAGGAGGAUCUACACAAGUUUUUUACAUCAUGUUUUACAUCAUGCAUCAUUUACAUCAUGUUUUUUUGUAGUGGCAUAAAUAAAAAGUGACAUUUGUGAGACUAUACAGUGUUUUGUAAAUAAUUUUACAAAGAACGCCUGGGCCAUUGCCUGCAUUUUGAUGUAAAUAGAGGUAAAUUACUAUGUUCUUUGUUAAAAAUUUGCAUAUGUUUUGAAGUUUACAAUUUUUAUUUGAAGUUUAAGUUUUAAAAACAGUUCAUCACACAUAUUUGUGGUUUAAUUUCACAUUAAUUUCCAUAUUGUAUAAAUGACUGGAAAAAACUUGAGCCCCUGCCCCUGUAUAAUCAUGUGCACGUCCCUGUUCUAGCUCCAAGGUGAAUCUUCACUGCUCAUGUUCUCCUCAGAAAUAGUCACCUCACUCCCCUCAGGUUACUGUACACAUGCACCAACUAUCUGCUUCAGGUUUGAAAUGGAGCUUCAUGGUUGUCUUUUGGAGAAAUGAACAGUCAAGUUGUGUUUGAAAUUUGAUUUUUUUCAGGGGCAAAAGGAAGCCUCUGCAUUCUUGUCAAAUAUGUAAACAGCAUGUUUUUGCAGGUGCUAAAAAACAGACUCUGAGUGUGUGUGUGUGUGUGUGUGUGUGUGUGUGUGUGUGUGUGUGUGUGUGUGUGUGUGUGUGUGUGUGUGUAUGUUGGCGUGUGUGUAUAUGUGUGUGUAUCCUGCAGUACUCUGUACUCCUGCAGUGGCCAAAAAGACUUUUAAGAAUGUGGAUUUUUGGGUCAUCUUUGGCGCCCCCUAGAACUGCAGUACUCUGUACUCCUGCAGUGGCCAAAAUGACUUUUAAGAAUGUGGAUUUUUGGGUCAUCUUUGGCGCCCCCUAGAACGUAAACCGUGGGGUGCAGCGUCAUGAUUUUUACAACUUUGAAUGGGCAUGGGGUGUAGAUUGCCCUGAGCAAAUUUGGUAUCGGUGGGACGAAAGCCUUAGGAGGAGAUAGCCACAUUCCAAUGUGUGCGGAUCGGCAAAAAAUGCAAAAUAGCCCUUUUACCGUACAUUAUACAGAUACGCGCUCUUUGACUUUUUCGUAGAUCUUAUUGAGAUACACGUGAUUGUCAAUUUUUGUGUCAAUAUGACAAAGCGUACAGGCGUGACACUCAACAAUGUGUAUUUUUAUGUAAGGGGACAAGAAAAAAUUGACUUUUUUCUCCUACCAUGGGGGGCGCUCUUUUGGGGAGUAAAAAUUCCUUCACAAAUGUGUUGAUGGCUGGACAUUGCAUCAUCCUAGAAAACUUGGAGGCCAGUGAGGACAAAAAUAAAAAGUUAUAAAACAUUUAAGAAUGUGGAUUUUAGGGUUGUCUUUGGCGCCCCCUAGAACCUAAACCGUGGGGUGCAGCAUCAUGAUUUGAAUAACUUUUAAUGGCCAUGGGGUGUAGAUUGGCCUAAGCAAAUGUGGUGCCGGUGGACAGAAAGCCUUCGGAGGAGUUAGCGAAAUUCCAAUGUGUGCGGAUCGGCAAAAAAUGCGGAAUAACCCUUUAACCGUACAUUUGACAGAUACGCGCGCAUUGACUUUUUCGUAGAUCUUAUUGAGUUACAUGUGUGUGUCAAUUUUUGUGUCAUUUUGACAAAGCGUAAAGGCGUGACAGUCAACAAUGUGUAUUUUCACCUUAGGGGACAAGAAAAAAUGGAGUUUUUUCUCCUGCCAUGGGGGGGCGCUCUUUUGGGGAGUAAAAAUUCCUUCACAAAUGUGUUGAUGGCUGGACAUUGCAUCAUCCUAGAAAACUUGGAGGCCAGUGAGGACAAAAAUAAAAAGUUAUAAGACUUUUAAAUAUGUGGAUUUUAGUGUUAUCUUUGGCGCCCCCUAGAACCUAAACCGUGGGUUGCAGCGUCAUGAUUUGAAUAACUUUUAAUGGCCACGGGGUGUAGAUUGGCCUGAGCAAAUGUGGUGCCGGUGGAACGAAAGCCUUCGGAGGAGUUAGCGAAAUUCCAAUGUGUGCAGAUCUGCAAAAAAUGCAAAAUAACCCAUAAACCGUACAUUUGACAGAUACGCCCGCACUGACUUUUUUGUAGAUCUUAUUGAGAUACAUAUGUGUGUCAAUUUUUGUGUCAAUAUGACAAAGCGUACAGGCGUGACAGUCAAUAGUGUGAAUUUCCACCUUAGGGGGCGCUAUGGAGCCAUUUUGCAUUUUAUUGUUUGGGCGACUUCAGAAUAUCGAAUUUUUCACCAGGCCCGGUCGUCCUGCCAAAUUUCCUGAGUUUUCGCCAGUGGGAAGUGGGCCAUUUUCCAGUUCAAAGGGGAGGAAAAAGAAGAAAGAAAGAAAGAAAGAAACAAAGAAAAACCCCUUGGGGAAUAAUAGGGCUCUCGCAGCUGCUUAGCAGCUACGCUCGGGCCCUAAAGAAGGAAACUACAGGAACAAGAGGGCUCUCGUAGCUGCUUAGCAGCUACGCUCGGGCCCUAACUAGGACCCCGUUGGGGCACUGGCGGGCCCGAGCCGUGUUGCGUCCCCCCCCCCCCCCCCCCAACGUGCUGCCUCCCCGUCCCAUUUGUGUCCUCUGGCCAUCGCCCUCUCUGGUAACGCCCAUCACUGCAAAGACCCUUUUCCUUCAUCGGCGUUUGCUGUUCUUCCUGCCAGUGCGUGUUGCUUUCACUUACACUUGCCACAGCCAGCCUCGUGAGUGCCUAGCCUAUUUGAUAACACUGUCACCUACACAGGACAGUCAUUACCUUUCUAUUAAUACUUUGUGUUUUAAUUUCACAUUAAUUUCCAUAUUGUAUAAACGACUGGAAAAAACUUGAGCCCCUGCCCCUGUAUAAUCAUGUGCAUGUCUCUGUUCUAGCUCCAAGGUGAAUCUUCACUGCUCAUGUUCUCCUCAGAAGCACUCACCUCACUCCCCUCAGGUUACUGUACACAUGCACCAACUGCCUGCUUCAGGUUUGGAUGGAGCUUCAUGGUUGUCUUUUGGAGAAAUGACCAGUCAGGUUGUGUUUGAAAUUUGAUUUUUUUCAGGGGCAAAAGGAGCCUCUGCAUUCUUGUCAAAUAUGUAAAUAGCAUGUUUUUGCAAG
rnacentral:lncRNA from 1 species